rnacentral:lncRNA from 1 species
GGAAAAUUUGGGAAAAUUGAGAAAAAUUGGGAAAAUUUGGGGAUUUUUUGGGGAUUUUGAGAGUUUAGAGCAAAUGGAUUUGGGGAGAUUUGGUGGAAUUCUGAGAAAAUUCAGAAAUUUGGGGAUUUUUUGGAGAAUUUUGGGAAUUUUUUGGGGAGUUUUGGGAAAAUUUGGGAUUUUUUGGGAUUUUUGGAAUAUUUUGGGAAUUUUUUAGGAAUUUUUAGGAAUUUUUGGGGGAAUUUUUUUGGAGUUUUUGGGUCUUUGGGGUUUUUUGUGUGGAAUUUUUGUGGAAUUUUGAGAAGAAUUUUACCAAAUUUGAGGAAAUUUUUUUUAAAUUUUGGGGAGAAGUUUGGAAAUUUCUGAAAUUUGGGGGAAUUCAUUUGGAAUUUUGUAUAAUUUGAUAAUUUGGUGGAAUUUUGGGGAAUUUUCAGGGGAUUUUUUGAAGAUUUCAAGAAUUUUUUAUUUUAAUUUUGGGGGAAUUUUAUGAAAAAAAUUUUGGGGAUUUUUGGGGGUGAAUUUUCAGGAAUUUUGUGGUGAUUUUUGAGAAUUUUUUGGGGAAUUUUUUAAUGGAAUUUUGCUCAAUUUUGGCUUUUUUUGGUUUUUCCAGGUGGGGUCGGAGGAGCCUGAGGAGCCCCAGGGCUGCCCUCGGAUCAAGCACGUCUGCAGGAGAACCCCUGAUGGGGGAGCUCAUCCCAACCACACGGAGGCCACGCCCCCUGCUCAGGCCACGCCCACAUCGCAUACCCCGCCCUUUCCUCAGGCCACGCCCCCACCUCAGGCCUCGCUCGCUCUGCAGGCCACGCCCACAGCGCAAGCUCCGCCUCCAGGGCAGGCUUCGCUUGCAGUUCAGGCCACGCCCCCACUUCAGGCCACGCCCCCAUCUCAAACGCUGCCUGCAGUUCAAACCCUGCUCACGGCUCAGGCCACGCCCCCAGCUCAGGCCACGCCCCCACCUCAGGCCACGCCCCCACCUCAAAGGCUGCCCGCAGUUCAAACCCUGUUGAC